rnacentral:rRNA from 1 species
UUCCGGUUGAUCCUGCCGGAGGCCAUUGCUAUUGGGAUUCGAUUUAGCCAUGCUAGUCGUACGAGUUCAGACUCGUGGCGAAUAGCUCAGUAACACGUGGCCAAACUACCCUUCGGAACACAAUACCCUCGGGAAACUGAGGCUAAUAGUGUAUACCACAGUCCACCUGGAAUGAGGACUGUGCCAAACGCUCCGGCGCCGAAGGAUGUGGCUGCGGCCGAUUAGGUAGACGGUGGGGUAACGGCCCACCGUGCCAAUAAUCGGUACGGGUCAUGAGAGUGAGAACCCGGAGACGGAAUCUGAGACAAGAUUCCGGGCCCUACGGGGCGCAGCAGGCGCGAAACCUUUACACUGCACGACAGUGCGAUAAGGGAAUCCCAAGUGCGUAGGCAUAGAGCCUACGCUUUUGUCCACCGUAGGGAGGUGGACGAAUAAGGGCUGGGCAAGACCGGUGCCAGCCGCCGCGGUAAUACCGGCAGCCCGAGUGAUGGCCGAUCUUAUUGGGCCUAAAGCGUCCGUAGCUGGCCGCGCAAGUCUAUCGGAAAAUCCACCCGCUCAACGGGUGGGCGUCCGGUAGAAACUGCGUGGCUUGGGACCGGAAGGCGCGACGGGUACGUCCGGGGUAGGAGUGAAAUCCUGUAAUCCUGGACGGACCGCCGAUGGCGAAAGCACGUCGCGAAGACGGAUCCGACAGUGAGGGACGAAAGCUAGGGUCUCGAACCGGACUAGAUACCCGGGUAGUCCUAGCCGUAAACAAUGCCUGUUAGGUGUGGCUCCCACUACGAGUGGGUGCUGUGCCGUAGGGAAGCCGCUAAACAGGCCGCCUGGGAAGUACGUCCGCAAGGAUGAAACUUAAAGGAAUUGGCGGGGGAGCACUACAACCGGAGGAGCCUGCGGUUUAAUUGGAUUCAACGCCGGG